rnacentral:lncRNA from 1 species
ACCCUCCGACGCUCAAGUCAGUUCUCUGCCUCAACAAGAAUGGAGUGCUCGAACGAAGAAUUUAGCAGAGUUUUGAGAUAGGAAAAUGAGCUUAGAGAAUAACGUAUCUGGGUCCCCCUUUUAUAGGCGGAGGAGACAACGGAUUGAUGGCGACAUUUGUAACCGUCUGGUAGUGGGCCGCCCAUGGUCAGAGGAAUUGAUUGCGAAGG